UACGGAGGGUGCAAGCGUUAAUCGGAAUUACUGGGCGUAAAGGGUGCGUAGGUUGUUUAAUAAGUUAUCUGUAAAAUCCCUGGGCUUAACCUGGGCAAGUCAGAUAAUACUGUUGGACUCGAGUAUGGUAGAGGGUAGUGGAAUUUCCGGUGUAGCGGUGAAAUGCGUAGAGAUCGGAAGGAACACCAGUGGCGAAGGCGGCUACCUGGGCUACUACUGACACUGAGGCACGAAAGCGUGGGGAGCAAACAGG
rnacentral:rRNA from 1 species